GAUGAACGCUGGCGGCGUGCCUAAUACAUGCAAGUCGAGCGAACAGAUGAUGAGCUUGCUCCUCUGACGUUAGCGGCGGACGGGUGAGUAACACGUGGAUAACCUACCUAUAAGACUGGGAUAACUUCGGGAAACCGGAGCUAAUACCGGAUAAUAUAUUGAACCGCAGGGUUCAAUAGUGAAAGACGGUUUUGCUGUCACUUAUAGAUGGAUCCGCGCCGCAUUAGCUAGUUGGUAAGGUAACGGCUUACCAAGGCAACGAUGCGUAGCCGACCUGAGAGGGUGAUCGGCCACACUGGAACUGAGACACGGUCCAGACUCCUAAGGGACGCAGCAGUAGGGAAUCGUCCGCAAUGGGCGAAAGUCUGACGCAGCAACGCCGCGUGAGUGAUGAAGGUCUUCGGAUCGUAAAACUCUGUUAUUAGGGAAGAACAAAUGUGUAAGUAACUAUGCACGUCUUGACGGUACCUAAUCAGAAAGCCACGGCUAACUACGUG
rnacentral:rRNA from 1 species